CUACACUCUCUCAAACUCUCUCAAAAUCCCUGAGAUUUAAAAUACACUCAACUCCCCCGAAAUCAUUCGAGGACUCACCCCCUGUAAGACUUUUUUUUUCAAGAGGGCUGUGGUUAUCUUUGCGUCAGCCUAAUUGGUCUGCAUCUUCAAUUCUCUUACGAUUUCAAAUUCAGCAAUAAUAGUAGAAUCGGCAGGUUCAUGUUGCGGUUCAAUAGUAAUUCAUCUAUUGAUAAGAUUUCACGGAUCUUAUAUACCCACACGCAUCAACUGUGGUUCUUAUUUCUAUGAUCCCAGGUACCCAUUUCCGGAGCCGUCUGAUUGAUCAUCGACCAAUCGUUGUAAUUAAGUAAUUAUUGUUUUGGUCUUUGUUGGUUGUUUUCGUUUAGUUUUUUCCUAUACUGGCAAUGGUUUUUGUGGUUGAAGUUUGUUAACUGAACUUACCCUGAAUCCAUGAAUUAGUCAUUUUUGUUAAAAUUUUCAAUUUUGUGUGGCCAUUUUAAAGCAUUUUUAUUUGUUUUUUGAGACGGAUGGCCAUUCGAAAGCUCUAAGAAGAGAAUGGAAGAAGAUAACAAAAUUAAUGACACUGUAUG